rnacentral:rRNA from 1 species
UGGGGAAUAUUGGGCAAUGGGCGCAAGCCUGACCCAGCAACGCCGUGUGAGGGAAGAAGGCUUUCGGGUUGUAAACCUCUGUCCUUGGUGACGAAACAAAUGACGGUAGCCAAGGAGGAAGCCCCGGCUAACUACGUGCCAGCAGCCGCGGUAAUACGUAGGGGGCGAGCGUUGUCCGGAAUUACUGGGCGUAAAGGGUGCGUAGGUGGCCUUUUAAGGUGGAUGUGAAAUGCCCGGGCUUAACUUGGGGGGUGCAUCUAAUACUGGAGGGCUAGAGUGCAGGAGAGGAAAGCGGAAUUCCUAGUGUAGCGGUGAAAUGCGUAGAUAUUAGGAGGAACACCAGUGGCGAAGGCGGCUUUCUGGACUGUAACUGACACUGAGGCACGAAAGCGUGGGGAGCAAACA